rnacentral:rRNA from 1 species
CCGGGUUGCUAAGGGGCUGCCCUUCGGGGCGAACCGACCCACCCGGUGGCGGGUAGCGAUGGGGGGACGCAGGAGGGUAGGUCGACCCAGGCGUUGGUUGUCCCGGGGUAAGCGUGUAGGGGGGCCGGUAGGCAAAUCCGCCGGCCAUUAACUCCGAGACGCGAUGCCGAGCCGCUUCAGGCGAAGUGACUGAUCCCAUGCUGCCGAGAAAAGCCUCUAGCGAGUGGACUGGGUGCCCGUACCCCAAACCGACUCAGGUGGGCAAGUAGAGAAUACUAAGGCGAUCGAGAUAACUCUGGUUAAGGAACUCGGCAAAUUACCCCCGUAACUUCGGAAGAAGGGGGGCCUUUUCUGGUGUAGGGCUUCGCGCCCGAAGCUGGAGAGGGCCGCAGAGACCAGGGCCAAGCGACUGUUUACUAAAAACACAGGAGCGUGCGAAGUCGUAAGACGAUGUAUACGCUCUGACGCCUGCCCGGUGCCGGAAGGUUACGGGGAAGGGUUAGCCCGCAAGGGCGAAGCUCUGAACCUAAGCCCCGGUAAACGGCGGCCGUAACUAUAACGGUCCUAAGGUAGCGAAAUUCCUUGUCGGGUAAGUUCCGACCUGCACGAAUGGCGUAACGACUUGGCUACUGUCUCAACCAGAGACUCGGCGAAAUUGCACUACGAGUAAAGAUGCUCGUUACCCGCAUCAGGACGGAAAGACCCCGUGGACCUUUACUGCAGCUUGAUGUUGGGUCUUGGUUCGGCUUGUGUAGGAUAGGUGGGAGGCUUGGAAGCUGUGGCGCCAGCCAUGGUGGAGCCAACGUUGAAAUACCACCCUGGUCGUGCUGGGACUCUAACCUGGGCCCGUAAUUCGGGUCGGGGACCGCGUCAGGUGGGCAGUUUGACUGGGGCGGUCACCUCCCAAAAUGUAACGGAGGUGCCCAAAGGUUCCCUCAGCCUGGUUGGCAAUCAGGCGUCGAGUGCAAAGACACAAGGGAGCUUGACUGCGAGACCAACAAGUCGAGCAGGUGCGAAAGCAGGGCUUAGUGACCCGGCCGUGGCGUGUGGAAGCGCGGUCGAUCAACGGAUAAAAGGUACCCCGGGGAUAACAGGCUCAUCUUGCCCAAGAGUCCAUAUCGACGGCAAGGUUUGGCACCUCGAUGUCGGCUCGUCGCAUCCUGGGGCUGAAGCAGGUCCCAAGGGUUGGGCUGUUCGCCCAUUAAAGCGGUACGCGAGCUGGGUUUAGAAC